GCUUAGAGAGGGGUCAAUGUCCUAUCAGCUAGUUGGUAGGGUAAUGGCCUACCAAGGCUAAGACGGGUAGCCGGCCUGAGGGGGUGGUCGGCCACACUGGGACUGAGACACAGCCCAGACUCCUACGGGAGGCUGCAGUCGAGAAUCUUUCGCAAUGCCCGAAAGGGUGACGAAGCGACGCCGCGUGUGGGAAGAAGGCCUUCGGGUUGUAAACCACUGUCGGGAGUUAAGAAAUGUAAGGGUGUUAAUAGCAUCCUUACUUGACUAAGGCUCCGGAGGAAGCCACGGCUAACUCUGUGCCAGCAGCCGCGGUAAUACAGAGGCGGCAAGCGUUGUUCGGAAUUAUUGGGCGUAAAGAGCACGUAGGCGGCUUUGUAAGUCAGUUGUGAAAGCCUUCCGCUUAACGGAAGAACAGCAUCUGAUACUGCAAGGCUAGAGUGCGGAAGGG
rnacentral:rRNA from 1 species